GGAUGAGCCCGCGGCCUAUCAGCUUGUUGGUGGGGUAACGGCCCACCAAGGCGACGACGGGUAGCCGGCCUGAGAGGGCGACCGGCCACACUGGGACUGAGACACGGCCCAGACCCCUACGGGAGGCAGCAGUGGGGAAUAUUGCGCAAUGGGCGAAAGCCUGGCGCAGCGACGCCGCGUGAGGGAUGACGGCCUUCGGGUUGUAAACCUCUUACAGCAGGGACGAAGCGAAAGUGACGGUACCUGCAGAAGAAGCACCGGCCAACUACGUGCCAGCAGCCGCGGCCG
rnacentral:rRNA from 1 species